UACGAAGGGGGCUAGCGUUGCUCGGAAUCACUGGGCGUAAAGCGCACGUAGGCGGAUUGCUAAGUCAGGGGUGAAAUCCUGGAGCUCAACUCCAGAACUGCCUUUGAUACUGGCGACCUUGAGUCCGGGAGAGGUGAGUGGAACUGCGAGUGUAGAGGUGAAAUUCGUAGAUACUGGGAGGAACACCAGUGGCGAAGGCGGCUACCUGGACCGGUUCUGACGCUGAGGCGCGAAAGCGUGGGUAGCAAACAGG
rnacentral:rRNA from 1 species